GUUUGUUUACUUGAUAUGUUCUUUCAAUUUUAUCCUCACCCAGUGAUCCACAUCUUAAAAGCACAAACUACUCUGUUCAGAUGGAAUAUCUUUGAUAGUGUUGUUGCAGACUUGAAGGUAUAUGCAUCAGGAGGUCAAGGUGGCAGUGGCACCGUAACAGUAUUUAUUUGAAACUACACGCGAGGAAAAGGUCAGUAACAAAAAAAGGAAGCUCACUGAGCACGUCAAUACAGAUUACCUGACGAAAGCCCAGGCGAUGAAUAGGAUAAUCAAGUUGAGAUCCCACCGAGGACGUAUAAUGGCUGAAUGAACUUCUGAUCCACGCUUUGGCAAUCCCGUGCCUCCAGGUGUGUAGGUUCAAAAGAUAAAUGGAUGAUUAUAUGGGCGCGUGGCAAAUAUACUGAUGAUGAUGAUGAUGAU